rnacentral:tRNA from 1 species
CAGGAAGUAGUUUAAGUAGAAUAUCAGCUUUGGGAGUUGAUGGUAGGGUGUAUUUACCUUCUUCUUGAUA